GCGGUCGCCAGACUCCUUGCCGGUGCCGCCGAGCGUCACGUUGUGGAGGAUGGACACCUCGUCGCCGACGACGGCCGUCUCCCCCACCACGAGGCCCGUGGCGUGGUCCAGGAGGAUCCCCUUGCCGAUCCGGGCCCCCGGGUGGAUGUCCACAGCGAAGACCUCCGAGACGCGGCUCUGGAGGAACAGGGCCAGCACUCUGCGCCCGCUGGCCCACAGCCGGUGCGCCGCCCGGUGGGCCUGGCAGGCGAGGAAGCCCUUGUAGUAGAGGAGGCAGUGGGCCAUGCUGGAGCAGGCAGGGUCCCGGUCGCGCGCCGCCCGGAGAUCGGCCCGCACGGCGCACUGGACCUCCGGGUCGGCCAGGAAGGCGUCGAGGAAGAUCUCCACCAGGACACCGCAGGGGAUCUGCUCGGCGCUGCCGAGCUUGUUGGCGAGGUGCGAGGCGAGGGCGCUCUCCAGGCAGGCGUGGGAGAGGAUGGCGUUGUGGUAGUAGGUCCGCAGCACGGGCUCCUUCUCCACGUCCGCCUCCGCUUCCUCCCGCAGCUUGGCCCAGACCUCGUCGACGUCCUCCUCGGAGUCUCCCCCCGGCAGGAGGUACUUCUUGUUGCCGGCGGAGGGGAAGGCCAGCUCUGGGAAGUCCGGCCGGGACAGGUCCACGAACUUGUACGGGCAGGCGGCGUCGAACCUGGCGCCGGGGGGCGCCCCGCUGCUUGUGGCCCGGGCCCGGGCGGCGGGCUCACCCUCACGCCGGGUGUUGAAGGCGACGCAGGUGGCCAUGGCUGCGACGCCCCGGCGGCGCUGCUCGAUCGGCCUGCGGAAGGAUGAAUGACAGACGGUCGACGAGGCCGACAUAAAUAUUAUACCUGCACCAAGCCCGUCCAGGAAAAAGAUAAUCCGUGACGGCGGCCGGAGGCGAGGUGAGACAGCGGACUUCUGUGGAUGUGGAUCACCGGUGAGAAGAUUGAGCAGACGGAGGCGGGCCGGCGGGCUAUUAUUUAUAGGAUGUGUGGCCUCUCCCAUCUUCCUCCAUCCCCUUCUGAUAAAAGCGGAGCAGGCGGGGCGAGGCAACCGGGAGCCCCUUCCAAGUCCCCCCCCUUUGUCGGGGACGAAGAUAGACGAUGCCGGCGGCUCUGUAGACGACGCCGAAUAGUAAAAAGGCGCCGACGGCGAAAUGACGACGUAACGGCUAGCGUCGUCACUCGCCCCUUCCUCCUUCCCCAAGACAGCCGGCUCGCAGUGGCAGAAGCUGCUGCCUUCCUCUCCCACGCUUCUCCGCAAUAAUUGAGGGCCGGGGACCGCCGGGGACGCCGACAGCGAGGCCUCCGUUCGCCGCAGCCCACACGCGGGACGCCGACGUGUAGGGUCCUCCGCCGGGGGAGGGACUCAUGGCCACGGGGCGAAGCGUCGCCUCGCACCCACGUGUGCCGGCCAGGAUCGGCGUUGACGUUGGGCGUGACGCGGGU
rnacentral:lncRNA from 1 species